rnacentral:rRNA from 1 species
UACGGAGGGGGCUAGCGUUGUUCGGAAUUACUGGGCGUAAAGGGCGCGCAGGCGGCUGCUCAAGUCAGGCGUGAAAGGCCUGGGCUCAACCCGGGAAUUGCGCUUGAGACUGGGCUGGCUUGAGUGCGGGAGAGGAUGGUGGAAUUCCCAGUGUAGAGGUGAAAUUCGUAGAUAUUGGGAAGAACACCGGUGGCGAAGGCGGCCAUCUGGACCGCAACUGACGCUGAGGCGCGAAAGCGUGGGGAGCAAACAGGAUUAGAAACCCGUGUAGU